AUACGGAGGAUCCGAGCGUUAUCCGGAUUUAUUGGGUUUAAAGGGAGCGUAGGUGGAUUGUUAAGUCAGUUGUGAAAGUUUGCGGCUCAACCGUAGAAUUGCAGUUGAAACUGGGAGUCUUGAGUACAGUAGAGGUGGGCGGAAUUCGUGGUGUAGCGGUGAAAUGCUUAGAUAUCACGAAGAACUCCGAUUGCGAAGGCAGCUCACUAGACUGUUACUGACACUGAUGCUCGAAAGUGUGGGUAUCAAACAGGAUUAGAUACCCUGGUAGUCCGCACAGUAAACGAUGAAUACUCGCUGUUUGCGAUACACUGUAAGCGGCCAAGCGAAAGCGUUAAGUAUUCCACCUGGGGAGUACGCCGGCAAGGCUGAAACUCAAAUGAAUCGGCGGGG
rnacentral:rRNA from 1 species